rnacentral:rRNA from 1 species
AGAGUUUGAUCAUGGCUCAGAUUGAACGCUGGCGGCAGGCCUAACACAUGCAAGUCGAACGGUAACAGGAAGAAGCUUGCUUCUUUGCUGACGAGUGGCGGACGGGUGAGUAAUGUCUGGGAAACUGCCUGAUGGAGGGGGAUAACUACUGGAAACGGUAGCUAAUACCGCAUAACGUCGCAAGACCAAAGAGGGGGACCUUCGGGCCUCUUGCCAUCGGAUGUGCCCAGAUGGGAUUAGCUUGUUGGUGGGGUAACGGCUCACCAAGGCGACGAUCCCUAGCUGGUCUGAGAGGAUGACCAGCCACACUGGAACUGAGACACGGUCCAGACUCCUACGGGAGGCAGCAGUGGGGAAUAUUGCACAAUGGGCGCAAGCCUGAUGCAGCGACGCCGCGUGCGGGAUGACGGCCUUCGGGUUGUAAACCGCUUUUGACUGGGAGCAAGCCCUUCGGGGUGAGUGUACCUUUCGAAUAAGCACCGGCUAACUACGUGCCAGCAGCCGCGGUAAUACGUAGGGUGCAAGCGUUAUCCGGAAUUAUUGGGCGUAAAGGGCUCGUAGGCGGUUCGUCGCGUCCGGUGUGAAAGUCCAUCGCUUAACGGUGGAUCCGCGCCGGGUACGGGCGGGCUUGAGUGCGGUAGGGGAGACUGGAAUUCCCGGUGUAACGGUGGAAUGUGUAGAUAUCGGGAAGAACACCAAUGGCGAAGGCAGGUCUCUGGGCCGUUACUGACGCUGAGGAGCGAAAGCGUGGGGAGCGAACAGGAUUAGAUACCCUGGUAGUCCACGCCGUAAACGGUGGAUGCUGGAUGUGGGGACCAUUCCACGGUCUCCGUGUCGGAGCCAACGCGUUAAGCAUCCCGCCUGGGGAGUACGGCCGCAAGGCUAAAACUCAAAGAAAUUGACGGGGGCCCGCACAAGCGGCGGAGCAUGCGGAUUAAUUCGAUGCAACGCGAAGAACCUUACCUGGGCUUGACAUGUUCCCGACAGCCCCAGAGAUGGGGCCUCCCUUCGGGGCGGGUUCACAGGUGGUGCAUGGUCGUCGUCAGCUCGUGUCGUGAGAUGUUGGGUUA